rnacentral:lncRNA from 1 species
CCAUAUUAUUAAUUAUGAUUAAUUUCAUACAGGUCCCUAUAAAUAUAGUGAAUGAUAAAUAGAUCCUUAGAAAGUUCAACUUUUAUAUGCUGUCUCUACAAAAGCCCUAAUGUCUUCAAAUGUUUCUGUCGUUAGUAUCCGUUAGAAAAUUUUAAUUAACUAUAGGUUAAAUACUUAACUCUGGUUAAUUUUUGACAUUUUUACUCCUCUUAUAUUAUACUGUUAUGAUUUUUGGAGAAACAUUUGUGAUGGCAAAAUUAAAAAUAUAAACGAAUUUCUAACCGUUCUCUAACUGUAACAAAUUAGAGAGAUAUGAAAAUUUUAGAACUUUUGUAGGGACAAAAUAUGAAAGUUAAAUUUUAUAGGGAUAUAUUUGUCAUUCACUAUAUUUGUAGGGACCUGUAUGAAAUUAACCCUAUUAAUUAU